rnacentral:lncRNA from 1 species
UCCGUCCCGUUUGGUUAUCUCUUUUCCAUUGCUUGAAUAAUUAGUAAACUUUCAUUACGGUUCAGUUUCAUUCGGUACUUGAAUAUUCAGUUUUCUGUUGGGUUUUCGUGAUAAAAAGAGAUUUAUGGACUUUUCAAGUAAAAUGGUUUUCUACCCCUCGUGGUAGCGCUUGUUUUGAAAAGAAAAAGGGUUUUCAUAUUCGAUACAGUUUUCGAUGGUUUUCUACCCCUCGUGGUAGCAUUUUAAAAGAUAAAAGUUUCUGUGUGGGAAACAAUUUAUUUAAAAAGGAGCUUUCAAAUGGAUUACUGAGACUUAGCAUUUCAAAACUCGUUUCCGGGUGGGAAACAUUUCAAACGAUAGUUCUGGAUUUAUGUUUAAAGCUUGAAAUACUGUCGCGUUGUGAAUGGUGAAUGUAUGAACGUCUGCAUGUGCAGUUGAGUUUGUGUGUUCAUAUGGUUGUGGUUGUAUUCUGGUUGUACUCUGAUUGUCUAUCUGUACUUGUGCGACGCCGUGCAAAUACAGGGGAGACUCUGUCCGUGUGAACAGUGGAUUCCCUGUAUUUGUGGCGGAUCUGACAUACCCUGGGGUCAGGUAUUUCAAAAAAAAAAAAAAAAAAAUUUAGUCGUUUCCGCUGUCUUUCCAAACCGAAAAGGGACCCCGGGGCGUGACAAUAAUUUUUCAUGUUUCACUUUAUAACCGGCUGCCAAACAAUAUAACCAGCCAAAGAAUCGACCUAAAAGGUCACUUUUGUAAAAAUCACUUUUGUAGAAGUCACUUUUGUAAAAAUGACUUUUUUCAUUUCAACUACUUUUGAGCAACCAAACAUGUCCUAAACAAAACUACCAUGCGAUCAACUUGGUAGAAAAGAUAUUCAUUAACAUUAAUGGUAUGUUUGGCUCAUGAUUGCGACGAGAAUGAAAAAUAUAAUUAGAUUGUGUUGGAAUAGAAAAUGAAAUAAUGAAUCAUCCAAAAAUAUUUGGUUCAUUAUCGGAAUGAUAAUCGGAAUAGACACAAUAAUGAAAUUUGGAACAGAUAUUUAGGAUUUUUGAGGGAGAGUUUUGGUUCAGAGGGAGGAGAGUGACGAAGGGAGAUGAGAAGGAGAAGUUUGUGAGAGAGAGUUUUGAAUGGUUUACUUUGAAAUUGACCAAUACGAAAUUCAAAGUCAGAUUAAGUCAUAAUGGGAUUGUGCUAGUCCCAUUUCAAAUUAAUUAGUAGAAUGAAAAUCGAAAUUUUAUUU